GUGCCCCCCCCCCCAUGGCCCAGUGUGGCCUCCACAAGCCAGUUUCCCAGACUCCAGGGGGCGACCUGCGCUCCAGAUUCCGCCCGACAGCACGUCCCACCCAGGUGUCCCCAGUCUCCACCCUCUUUCGUAUCUCUAGGCCCCUGGGAAGAUCCAGGAAUUCACCAAACACAAAUGGCAGCAGGCUGGUAAUCAGGCCUCACCCAAGGCUUGGCAGGUUCCCUCUAGCCCUUGUCUUGGAGAUGGAGCCACCAAGUGGAGAACUGGAGCCAGGACCCCGUGUCUAGCGCAUCUCCUCACGCCUUCUGUCCUGUCCUAGAUGUUUUUCUGGUUUUCCCAAGUGCCAGCCACUUCUCAGAUUCACGCAUCUUUGAGCGAAGAAAAUCCGGGUUCCCACCCCAGACACUUAAAAAUGUCAUUAUAGCUUUACCUCUUACAGGUGGCAGUAAAGGACCUCUUUAAAUAGCGGGUUAAACGGAUGCAGAUGUACACAAUGUACCGUGGAAUUACCGGGUGCUGGUCUGGCCUUCUGCCAAGAACAGCUACCGCGGCGGGUGGGAGGGGUGCAGCAGGAAGCGAAGAAAAGUUGUUCCAUUUGAUUUUCUGAACAAUGAAUGAGCUAGGAUUUCAGAGCACUUCCAAGGCCUGGGAGAGUCAGCGUCCUCAACUUCUUCCCCUAGCUUCUUAAAUGCCCCUCCCCUUAUUUUUUAAAGACACGAUCUCCUGUAGCCCACGGCCUCCAACUCACUGUGGAGGAUAAUCUUGAACUAAUGGUCCUUCCCCCAUCUCCCCAGCGCAGCAAUAACAAGCACUGGCCAGCAUGCUGAGUUCAUAUGACACUGAAGAAUCAAUUCAGGUUUUGCCACGCUAGCACAUACUCUACUAGCUGAGCUGCAUCCUUGGCCAUUAUGGUCCAGAGCAGGAGGCAGAGACCUAACUAAGGAAGGCCAGCUCUGUCUGAGGUCUCCAGGCUCAUUAGAGGAUCCCACCUACCAGUGUCUAAUGAAGGAGAGCUAUUGUCAUGCCUGUUGCACACACAGCGAUAUCAAGCUGCUGAAAGCUGCAGCAGCAGAGUCUGGUAUUUCACAGCAACUGCUGAUGGAGCCUAUAUGAGCUGGAACUGCAGCUGCUGGCUGGAAUAAAGCAGUGAUGUGCCCGCCCUGGUGAUCAAGUCUCAGGUUUCUCUCAUGUCGGAGGAUAUGGAUGCCUGACUGAAAA
rnacentral:lncRNA from 1 species